GCCGACUUAGCUCAGUGGUAGAGCGCAUGACUUUUAAUCAUGUGGCCGUGGGUUCGACCCCCACAGUCGGCU
rfam:Arabis alpina cultivar Pajares chromosome 8, whole genome shotgun sequence.